GUUGAUGGCGGGCCAGCAGCCGCGUGAAUACGGUCGUGCGUAUCGUUAGUCGGAUUCAGUGGGGUUAAAGGGUACGGAGGCGGCCCGGUUAGUCGGGGGUGAAAGCCCUCGGCUCAACCGAGGAAUUGCGCCCGAUACUGCAGGGCUUGAGGGAGACAGAGGUGAGCGGAACUGAUGGUGGAGCGGUGAAAUGCGUUGAUAUCAUCAGGAACACCGGUGGCGAAAGCGGCUCACUGGGUCUCUUCUGACGCUGAGGUACGAAAGCUAGGGUAGCGAAGGGGAUUAGAUACCCGAGUAGUC
rnacentral:rRNA from 1 species